GCAGCUUUCUGAGAUGCAGCGCACUAAACCCAAGAAGCAGCUCAGGACUCUCUGGUGCGGGCCCUCCUCUCCAGCCCAUUGCUGAAGGGCAGGUAUGGGGGUAUAGGCCCCCAGAACUACCCAUUGGGAAGCCCCAAAUCCAAGCCUGCCCGAGUAUGGGUGAAGCUUCCCCAA